rnacentral:rRNA from 1 species
UACGUAGGGGGCAAGCGUUGUCCGGAAUCAUUGGGCGUAAAGAGCGUGUAGGCGGCCCGAUAAGUCCGCCGUGAAAGUCCAGGGCUCAACCCUGGAAUGCCGGUGGAAACUGUCGGGCUGGAGUCCGGAAGAGGCGAGUGGAAUUCCUGGUGUAGCGGUGAAAUGCGCAGAUAUCAGGAGGAACACCUAUUGCGAAGGCAGCUCGCUGGGACGUAACUGACGCUGAGACGCGAAAGCGUGGGGAGCAAACAGG